GGACGAACGCUGGCGGCGUGCUUAACACAUGCAAUUCGAACGGAAAGGCCCUGCUUUUGUGGUGUGCUCGAGUGGCGAACGGGUUAGUAACACGUGAGUAACCUGCCCUUGACUUUGUGAUAACUUCAGGAAACUGGGGCUAAUACCGGAUAGUAGCUCCUGCUGCAUGGUGGGGGUUGGAAAGUUUCGGCGGUUGGGGAUGGACUCGCGGCUUAUCAGCUUGUUGGUGGGGUAGUGGCUUACCAAGGCUUUGACGGGUAGCCGGCCUGAGAGGGUGACCGGCCACAUUGGGACUGAGAUACGGCCCAGACUCCUACGGGAGGCAGCAGUGGGGAAUAUUGCACAAUGGGCGGAAGCCUGAUGCAGCAACGCCGCGUGCGGGAUGACGGCCUUCGGGUUGUAAACCGCUUUCGCCUGUGACGAAGCGUGAGUGACGGUAAUGGGUAAAGAAGCACCGGCUAACUACGUG
rnacentral:rRNA from 1 species